AUGAAGUGGAGGAGGAGGAUCAUCACCUAGUUCCCGGAUCUGAAGGCUGCUUAUGUCGGAAGCAAACAAUGAAUAAUCUCUCUCACUUCUUCUUCUUCUCCAGCUUUUUCCACUGAGUCUUAAGUAAAUAAUAAUAAUAAAAGGUGGGUGAAUUUCAAAUCCAGGUAAAGCUAAAUAUAUUCAGAGAGGGAUUAAAACUGCAUUACGGAUCUAGAGAUUGGGUAAUGGAGAUUGAAGCAAGAAUUAGGGAUUUUAGAGGGAGAUUAGGAGAGUACAGUGUUUUGGGGUUUAAGUGUAUUUGACAAGGGUUAAUUAACAACAGAGACAUCCCGCCAAAGCCUAUUAUCAUCCCUAAUUAAUUUCGUUUAUUUUUUAUAUUAUAUGGUCCCAUUUUUCUCUCUUUGGUAAGUAAUGAAGAUUUAUUGUGUCGGGCUAUAUUUAUAUAUUUGAAGCCGGUGUGUGUGUGUC